UGCCGGCUCGAUCAACCCAUACGAACUGCAAUGGAUAUCGUCUGGUUUUUCACUUUGUAGUUUGUACAACUACCGGGGGAUUCGCGAUGGCCACGUGCUUUUCUUGUUUGCUUUCUUGGGCGCUUCGGCCAUGGGAUCUUGCAGCAGGGAUCCAAGGUUGCCACGGCCUCACACUGUGCCGCACGCACCACAACUGUUCGACGGAAUGCCGGGCCAGGCCAGCGAUAGUGCCAGUCGGCCACCACCCUGUCUCCGGCAAGUGCCUGCCGGCACAUACACACUAGCUGUUCAUCCGGUCGGUCAGCUUGCUUGGUUGCUGCAGACCACAGCCCUUUUCUUUCUCGCCCCGGAGUCCGUCUGCCGGACUUUAUGCACAUCCAGUACACGAGCACUGUGGGCUGUGGCCAUCGGCUGGUGAUCAUCAUCAUCCAAGUUCCACCGUAUCAGUGCUAUAGCUCCUUCAACAUGCUAAAUCUAGUCGGCUGCCUCUCGAGUGGCGAGCAGCAUCCUUUUUCAAGGGUGGAGAUUGCCUGGCAUCCGGGGAGCCGUGCGAUCUGGAUCCGAAUCGCCUUUUGCUCAUGCUCUACGCGCACCAGGAUUUGGUGUACGUACGUACGUACGCCUUUUGCUUUGGUGGUGUUACGGCCGGGGCUUAAGGCUGCUUCUUAAGUGGAGAAGGGUGCUGCUCACCCUUUAUUCAGUGCACAUGACAGAAUGCUGACACCACUGCUGAUCUAUGCCACUAAACCAUGUGAAGAAGGCCAGCUUUCCUGCAUCCUUUUCAUUACCUUUUGUGCUCACAAAGUUAUCUGCAAAUAGUUUCAUAAUCCAAGUGCCUCCUUUGAUGCCUAAAGGCUACCGGCUGUUCACAGUUUCCAUCCUAGUAACAGGAACAAACUGUUGGGUCCAUAAGUGAAGACAUCAAGAUGCAGGAAAUUAAAAUCGUUCCUGGUUUCAUCUGUUUCCCUCCGUCGAAUGAAUGACCGACAAUUCAACCGUCCUUGGAAGUCCUUUCAUUUGCAUGUCCAAAUCCCACCACGCAUGCAUGUCCCGGUUUUUUCGUACAUUCCUGAAGCUGGGGAAUCAAUGAGAUGCGAUUCAACAGCGACCUCGCAUCAUAAAAGCCCUUACAGGGAACUAUCCAAAAGAUUUCCCUGUACUGGUUUUGCAGUAAUUGUAGGGUGCAAAUAGAUGGUCCACUUUUCCCCACAGCGAAAUGUUGUCGUCUCCAAAGAAGAAAUGAUGUUCCUGCAUUUACUGUCCGUGGGUCUGCAUCUGUCCUUAUUGUUUAAUCAUGCAGUUCAUUGAUUUUUGAAUUAGAAAGAAAGGAGUAUAUGGCCUGCUCAAGGUAGGUGAAUAGAAGUAGACGGGAAUCAUAAUACACACUGGAGUCUACCAUCUUGAGAAAAUUCAAGCAGACAAAACCCAGAUAAUUUUUAUCCAAGUAAAAAGGAACAUUCAGGUAGCAAGAUCUAUCUACUUUGACUAACUGCUAUGUGUGCGCACCUCCAUGGAGAUCUGUUUCGCAACAAGUGCUCAAAGUGGCCGCACAAAGUGAUACAUAGUGACUUCCAAGAACUUUGCAUUUCCCCCUGGCUACACAUGGCCAUGGGCUUAAUUGGCCGAGAAGUGGGAGCAUUAUCAAAAGAACAAUGGAAAAGGAAACUUAUCUAGAAGCUUGCCUCAUCUUUUUCUAGCAACAGAUUCAAAGGAAACACCGUCCUGGACCGAGAGUUGGCAAAAGGAGAAUUCGACAGGAAAUUGUCUCGAAUGGGGUUCUAGAAAUGUUGGACCCGACUCCAUCAUGUCUUGCUCCUUUCUUAAAGUAUGUACACUUGAAGACUAGGUAGGUAAAAAGAGUGGGAAGCUGGGAAGAGGGACAAGAAGAGAAACAGCAUAAUGGCGGGGAAGGACUUUGAAAGAGCCAACUGGGCCCAGAAGGGGGAGGCCCAGGCGAGCCACAAGGAGGGGGCAGGAGGACGGAAGCUCAGAGCUGGCGGGCCCGGUUCUGUUUCCGUGGGCCAACCAAGGUAGUAGGCCUUUUAAUUUUCUCCUCGUGGGGCCACCGCUCAGAGGCCUUCACAUGACCCUUGUCUCCUGACGCCCCUUGCUCGCGCGUCGAGUACGCACGUACGUUGCGGCGGGCCCACCCGAUUCGGUUUCAGCAGUGGUAGUUGUCCCACGUGGCAUCAUCUAAUUUGUCUUUGUUUGGAAACAGCAUGAUUACAUUUCUACAUCGAGUUCAAGCUCGACUUUGAGUAUGUGGGUUUCGAGUAUAUUGACAAUUGAAAUUUUCUGCUGAUUCGUG